GACGAACCGUGCGAACGUUGUUCGGAAUCACUGGGCGUAAAGGGCGCGUAGGCGGGCUGUCAAGUCCGGGGUGAAAUCUUUCGGCUCAACCGGAAAAGUGCCUUGGAUACUGAUGGUCUGGAGGGAGGUAGGGGUAUGUGGAACUUCCGGUGGAGCGGUGAAAUGCGUUGAUAUCGGAAGGAACGCCGGUGGCGAAAGCGACGUACUGGACCUCUUCUGACGCUGAGGCGCGAAAGCGAGGGGAGCGAACGGG
rnacentral:rRNA from 1 species